rnacentral:lncRNA from 1 species
AUGGGGUUGCAGAGAAAACGUGGAUUGGGACCAGCAAGAAGUUAUCGUCCUGGAAUAGAGAGCCACAAUGCACAUUUGACAACAGCAAGAAAACUUCCCAGAUGCUCUGGAAGAACAGUGGCCAAGCAAAAUUCUCCCGGAGGGCAGAGUCUGCGACAGCAUUUCUGGCUGGCCAGUAAGUUCAGCAUAAAUGCAGAUGGUUGGAGCCCAUCUUACACCCGAGGGUGUUCCUGCACAUCUUUUAAUGCCUUCACUUUGAAGCUGACCAGAUCUCUUCUCACUGGCCUUGUGAGAUGGGCUUUGCUGUCUCCACAGUCUCAGUUUUGAGUCCCAGCUCUACUACUGAUUGGCUAUAUUUUCUCAUCUAUAAAUUGUGUAUAACCACAAAUGAUUAUUAUAUGAGGUAAUACCAAUAAAAUGCUUAGCAUGGUAUUUAACAUAUAUUAAUGGUUUUUAUCAAUAUGUUUGCACAACUUAUGAUUAUGGUAAAGCACAUUAUUAAAUCCUUGGAAUUAUUUUCUAAUCUGUGAAAUAAGUUUAGAUGAUUACUAAAACCUCUAAUUUUGAAAUUUUGUGUCUACAUCCUCUUUUUAUAAAUUGAUAUAACAUCAAGUAGAUUUUUUUGUCUGAGAUGUAAUUAUUUUCACUGUAUUUUCAAAUAUUCAACGGGAAAGACCACGGAGAAGUAUUGCCCAAGUACGCUGAAUCCCAAAAGCUGUGAUCCAAAAAAUGCUAUGGAGAUAAAUAUCUUGUAGUUGAAUACUUACUAAAGAAAUUGUAGCAUAUAGCACACUUAAAACACUAUAGAAAAGUAGAGAAGCUAAAAGUGAACUGCCUCAUGUGUGAAUUCUAUUGCUACUUGGAAAUGCACCUAAGAAACAUUACAUGAAAAGAGCAAAAUAUCAAGGCUCU